rnacentral:rRNA from 1 species
UACGUAGGGUGCGAGCGUUAAUCGGAAUUACUGGGCGUAAAGCGUGCGCAGGCGGUUCUCCAAGUCCGUUGUGAAAGCCCCGGGCUCAACCUGGGAAUGGCAGUGGAAACUAGGGGACUGGAAUCUGGCAGAGGGGGGUGGAAUGCCGCGUGUAGCGGUGGAAUGCGUAGAGAUCCGGAGGAAGACCGGUGGCGAAGGCGGUCUGCUGGGCAGUUGCUGACACUGAGGCGCGACAGCGUGGGGAGCAAACAGG